UGGGGAAUAUUGCACAAUGGGCGCAAGCCUGAUGCAGCGACGCCGCGUGGGGGAUGAAGGCCUUCGGGUUGUAAACUCCUUUCGCUAGGGAAGAAGCCUUUUUGGUGACGGUACCUGGAUAAGAAGCACCGGCUAACUACGUGCCAGCAGCCGCGGUAAUACGUAGGGUGCGAGCGUUGUCCGGAAUUACUGGGCGUAAAGAGCUCGUAGGUGGUUUGUCGCGUCGUCUGUGAAAUCCCGGGGCUUAACUUCGGGCGUGCAGGCGAUACGGGCAUAACUAGAGUGCUGUAGGGGAGACUGGAAUUCCUGGUGUAGCGGUGAAAUGCGCAGAUAUCAGGAGGAACACCGAUGGCGAAGGCAGGUUACUGGGCAGUUACUGACGCUGAGGAGCGAAAGCAUGGGUAGCGAACAGG
rnacentral:rRNA from 1 species